UACGUAGGUGGCAAGCGUUGUCCGGAUUUACUGGGCGUAAAGGGCGCGUAGGCGGCUUGGCAAGUGGAAGGUGAAAUCCCUCGGCUUAACCGAGGAACUGCCCUCCAAACUGCUUCGCUUGAGACCGGGAGAGGUGAGUGGAAUUCCCAGUGUAGCGGUGAAAUGCGUAGAUAUUGGGAGGAACACCAGUGGCGAAGGCGGCUCACUGGACCGGUACUGACGCUGAUGCGCGAAAGCCAGGGGAGCAAACGGG
rnacentral:rRNA from 1 species